UACAAUGGCGUAAACAAAGGGAGGCGAAGGAGCAAUCUGGAGCGAACCCCAAAAAUAACGUCUCAGUUCGGACUGUGGUCUGCAACCCGACCACACGAAGCUGGAAUCGCUAGUAAUCGCGAAUCAGAAUGUCGCGGUGAAUACGUUCCCGGGUCUUGUACACACCGCCCGUCACACCAUGGGAGUCAGCAACGCCCGAAGUCAGUGACCUAACCGAAAGGGAGGAGCUGCCGAAGGCGGGGCCGGUAACUGGGGUGAAGUCGUAACAAGGUACC
rnacentral:rRNA from 1 species